CGGGCGCGGCACCGGUCUAAGUUCCUUGGAACGGGGCGUCAUAGAGGGUGAGAAUCCCGUAUGUGACCGGCGACCAAGCCCAUGUGAAACUCCUUCGACGAGUCGAGUUGUUUGGGAAUGCAGCUCAAAAUGGGUGGUAAAUUUCAUCUAAAGCUAAAUACCGGCCAGAGACCGAUAGCGCACAAGUAGAGUGAUCGAAAGAUGAAAAGCACUUUGGAAAGAGAGUCAAAAAGUACGUGAAAUUGUUGAAAGGGAAGCGCUUGCAACCAGACCUGCCCGCGGGCGAUCACCCGUCCUUCUGGGCGGUGCACUCGACCGCGAUCAGGCCAGCAUCGGUUCGGGCGGCCGGAUAAAGGCCCUGGGAACGUAUCUCCUUUCGGGGAGUGUUAUAGCCCUCGGUGCAAUGCGGCCAGCCUGGACCGAGGACCGCGCUUCGGCUAGGAUGCUGGCGUAAUGGUUGUAAGCGGCCCGUCUUGAAACACGGACCAAGGAGUCUAACAUCUAUGCGAGUGUUUGGGUGUCAAACCCAUGCGCGUAAUGAAAGUGAACGGAGGUGGGAACCCGUCAGGGCGCACCAUCGACCGAUCCAGAUGUCUUCGGAUGGAUUUGAGUACGAGCAUAGCUGUUGGGACCCGAAAGAUGGUGAACUAUGCCAGAAUAGGGUGAAGCCAGAGGAAACUCUGGUGGAGGCUCGCAGCGGUUCUGACGUGCAAAUCGAUCGUCAAAUUUUGGCAUAGGGGC
rnacentral:rRNA from 1 species